GGGGAUUUAGCUCAGUGGUAGAGCGCUUGCCUAGGAAGCGCAAGGCCCCUGGGUUCGGUCCCCAGCUCCCG
rfam:Rattus norvegicus chromosome 9, whole genome shotgun sequence.